rnacentral:rRNA from 1 species
CCUACGGGGUGCAGCAGUGGGGAAUAUUGCGCAAUGGGCGAAAGCCUGACGCAGCGACGCCGCGUGAGGGAUGAAGGUCUUCGGAUCGUAAACCUCUGUCAGCAGGGAAGAACGGUCACUGUGCUAAUCAGCAGUGCAUUGACGGUACCUGCAAAGGAAGCACCGGCUAACUCCGUGCCAGCAGCCGCGGUAAUACGGAGGGUGCGAGCGUUAAUCGGAAUUACUGGGCGUAAAGCGCUCGUAGGCGGUAUGUCAAGUCAAGGGUGAAAUCCCCGCGCUCAACGUGGGAACUGCCUUUGAAACUGGCAAACUGGAGUGUGUGAGAGGAUAGUGGAAGUCCAGGUGUAGGAGUGAAAUCCGUAGAUAUCUGGAGGAACAUCAGUGGCGAAGGUGACUAUCUGGCACAUAACUGACGCUGAGGAGCGAAAGCGUGGGUAGCAAACAGGAUUAGAUACCCCUGUAGUC